rnacentral:rRNA from 1 species
AUUGAACGCUGGCGGAAUGCUUUACACAUGCAAGUCGAACGGCAGCACGGGUGCUUGCACCUGGUGGCGAGUGGCGAACGGGUGAGUAAUACAUCGGAACGUACCCAGUCGUGGGGGAUAACGUAGCGAAAGUUACGCUAAUACCGCAUACGUCCUGAGGGAGAAAGCGGGGGACCGUAAGGCCUCGCGCGAUUGGAGCGGCCGAUGGCGGAUUAGCUAGUUGGUGGGGUAAAGGCCUACCAAGGCGACGAUCCGUAGCGGGUCUGAGAGGACGGCCCGCCACAGUGGGGCUGAGACACGUGCCAGACUCCUACGGGAGGCAGCGGUGGUGAAUUGUGGACAAUGGGCGAAAGCCUGAUCCAGCCAUUCCGCGUGAGUGAAGAAGGCUUUCGGGUUGUAAAGCUCUUUCGGCAGGGAAGAAACGGCUUGGGAUAAUACCCCGGGCUAAUGACGGUACCUGAAGAAGAAGCACCGGCUAACUACGUGCCAGCCGCCGCCGUAA